rnacentral:sRNA from 12 species
ACCUUAUAUAGAUGUAGUGACGCAAGACAGUGACGCAUUUCCCUGCAAGGUGGUGUUUCAAUAGAAGUAUAAACGACAAGUCUUAUUGUGUAGCUCUAGAGUUGAAAUAAGGUGAGUUUAUAUGUAAUAGGUUAACCGUAAGACCUUGAAUUGAGAAAUUCUAAAAUUGAUUUCAAUAAUUUUUUAUAAUUAUUGAAUUACGGUCAG